rnacentral:lncRNA from 1 species
GAAAGGAGACUGUGGGCAGCAAGUUUAGAGGCGUGACUGAAAGUCUUGCUGCGACCUGAGCUGCUGAAUCAGCUUUCUGGUUACUAUGGGCUACGGCCGUGUUUUCUUUUUGAUGUCCUUUGCAGUGGAUCACAGCUAGCUGCUGAGUCCUGGGAGAGAAGCAGAUGUGGUUUCCAAUACCACUUUCCAGAAGAGGAGACUGAGGAAGAGGCUUUACAGACACACCGAGGAUAUGUGAGGACAGGUGAAGGUCAUGAUCAUUGUCAGCCCCCUCCCCCAACCGGACAUUCCCAGAUCUGGUGGACUUCCAGCCAGAGGAGACAGAAGGACUGGAUCGCUCAACUCUGCCAGGGGUGCCAGGACCCAAUUUUUCCCUGGCUAACUCGGUCACCUCCUGUCUGGGAUCUCCAACUACUACCCAUCCCACAAGUCUCAGCUAAAACAGCAAUUCAACGGGAACUUUUUUCUGAGGCUCCAGGAUUGGGCCAGACCCUCUCCAUGGCUCUCUGCCCUUCCCCUACUGCAGAACUUAGCACCUGUAUGUCAGUAUUGGUUCAAACAUAUUUCUUUCGUAUGCUCUCCACGUUAUCUGCAGCAUCUGCCAAUAAUAAUGAAUGGUAAAACCUAAUCUCUAUUGAGUGUCGAUGAUGCACUUUUAAUGUGACAUCUUAUUUAAUCCUCACUAUAUCUGCAAGAGUAGAAGCUAUUAAUAGCCAAUUUUCAGAUAAGAAAAUCAAAGCACAGUUUCUGUAACUUACCCAAGCAGCUAGCUAGGAGGCAGCUCAGUUUGAGCCCAGGGAAUCACAUUCCAGAGACCGUGUUCUCAAUUACUAGAGCAGAUACCUCCCCAGAAUCUCGUAGGUGGUUAAUGAGUCUUUGUGGAAUAAAUGAACAGAAGGACAAACAGAUGGACGGAUACAUAGGUGGGUGGGUGGAUAGAUGGGUGGAUGGAAAGAUGGGUGGGCAGGGAGGUGGACGAAUGAAUGGAUGGUUGAGUCGGUGAAGGGAUGGCUGAGUGGGUGGAGAAAUGGAUGAGUGGGUGAAUGGGUGGAGGGAUAGAUAAAUGGAUGGACGGGUGGGUGGAUAGAUGGGUAGAUGAGUGAAUGGGUGGAUAGAUGCAUGGGUGAGUGGAUGGAUAGAUGGGUUGGUAGGUGGGUAGAUGGAUGAUAGCUGGGUGCGUAAGAGAGUGGGUUGGAUGGAUAGAUGGGUGGGUGGGUGGACAGAUGGGUAGGGGGUGGAUGGAUGUAUACAUGUCUGGAUGGAUGGAUGGAUGGAUGGAUGGAUGGAUGGAAGGGUGGAUGGAUGGAUGGACAGAAGAACAGAUGAACUUGAGCAUUUAUGCAGGGUCCUUCAAAGAACUGAGUGAUUUCCCUAGGGUGUCUCAUCACCUGCAGGUGGGUGGGCAAGGGGGCUUGCCUCUGUAAUACUCAUGAUAAUGGGUAGUGCUCAGCCUUAGUCACCACUCUCAGAACACUUUAUUGACCAGGAAAGUC